GGGCGAAUGGUUUAGUGGUAUAAUACUCCCUUAGCAUGUUCUCUGUCAAGAGAUGUCAUUCUGGGAGUGGUCCAGGGUUCGAUUCCCUGUUCGUCCA
rnacentral:tRNA from 1 species